UUUUUAUUUUUUUAAAAUUUGCCCUCAUCCUGGAUGGAAAUUCCGUGUAGAACACAACCUAUACGGAAUUUAGUCUAGAGUUACCUAGGCAAAAUAAAAAAUAAAAAACCAAAAUCUUCGAUGUGGGGGAACGGAGAUCGAUUCUAUUGGAGGAGGAAGGAGAGAGGAAAUUGCAAAGGGAUCCUGGUGGUGUUCGCUUGGUUAUCGAGCGAGGAGAGGAAUUUGAAGCUUUACGUUGAUCUCUAUGGAUCUCUUGGAUGGAAUUCUCUCGUUUGCCACGUCGGAUUUCUUACUCUGAGUUUGGCGCGAUAGACUUUGGCCUGAUCGGUGGACUGCAGUCACUGCGGAUGGUAAACAAAGUGCAUAGUUUGAGCACACACUUUUGGUGUGAAUUAAGAUGUCGGGAUGACAAUGAUCUCUUGGAGAAUUAAUGACAAUAUAUAAUUUUAAAGAAGACAAGAAAGAAAAGAUGAACAUAUAGAAAAAUAGAUCAAUUUUUAUGUUGUAUUAUUUUGUAACAUUGGCUUGUAUAAUCAAU